rnacentral:sRNA from 2 species
CAAAUGGCUGACUAGGGUUCCGGCUCGCAAUCGCGAGUGACUGGUCCGAGAGUUGGCGACCUCCAGUUGAGGUUACACGGCGGGACAAAAGCCCGGGAGAC